AUGGUAGAGUUAAAGGCCAAAUCUGCCAUAUAGUAGGGAGUAUAUGAAGCCAGGAGGAAGGAUCCAGGAUAUGAACCAUGACAGAAUACACACACAUUUUGGAGAUGCGUGCUUUCUCCAAGCUCUGAGGACCAUCACAAAGACAUGUUAACUGAAAGAACACCAAGUGAUGACUGAAUAGGUCCUAACUAUUGGAGGCUGUACAAGAAGCAUGGCACAAAACUCUAGUUGUCUUCUGGUGAAGAUCUCAGAAGUUUCCACUCAUGGCAGAAGGUAGGUGGAGAAGAAGGAGCUAAUGAAGAAAAAGAAACAAGUUGUCAAGAAGUGGGAAGAGAACCAGGACAACACAGCAUCAUGUCAGACAGUAAAAGAGUACAAUUUCAAGAAGGAAGAGUGCCCAAUAGCCCCUUGGCUAUAGAAGAAUCAAAGAGCAGGAGAAACAGGGAAAGGCCUUUAAUUUUGUGAUUAGGAUGUCAAAGGUGACCUCCCAGGCAUUACAACGUAGCAACUGAAAGAAAGUGAAUGUGAUCUAGAGAGAGAAUUCAACAAUGUGACCCAAUUAGCUUAAUGCCUCAAAUUACCAAAAUUGUACAGAUUUUUAGUAAAUUUUAAGCUGAUAAAUGUUACUACCAUCAGAGACCAUGGAAGGGAAUACUAAAAUACCUCAGGAAGACACAGAUUAAGUAUCCACUUACUUUAUACCAUAUGUAUAGCCUUUGUUUCAAUGAUGUUGAUAAUAUUAAUGCAACGUUGCUAAAAGUAAACACCCUCUAUAUUCUAGGCACUGUACUGAGCACUUUAACAUAUUUAGUUAACAGCACAAUUCUGCAUUCUGGAGUUGAGGAAACUGAGUUUUGGAAAGUUAAGUAUUGCUUCUGAGAUUCUAUGGCCGGUGAACA